GCCGAGGCGGCAGCGGAAGUGGUGGCCCUCGUGUGAAGCCCUCCUUGUGUGAAGACCUACUUGGGUAAAGACCAGCGAGUCUACCUGUGCGAGUCCACCGAGCAAGGACACCGACAAGGCACUACUCACCAAAGCACUUAAACCGUUCACAAGAUACAGAUGCAAGACAAAACGCAACCCACACAACCUACGGCCGCUUUGCACUUCAACACCUGCUCCACUCUCGUUCUCAGUGGGACUCUGGAACUGCCAGUCUGCUGUGAACAAAGCUGCCUUCAUUCCGGCUUUCGCCACGCAGUCCACCCUCAGCAUCCUGGCACUGACAGAGACAUGGAUACGUCCUGAGGAUACAGCAACACCUGCUGCUCUCUCUAACAACUUCUCCUUCUCCCACACCCCUCGACAUACUGGUCAGCUGACAAGCUUUCUUGAGGAAUUGGAUGUCCUGCUGUCCUCCUUGCCAGAGGAUGGCAGGCCACUUGUGGUUCUUGGUGAUUUCAACAUACACCAGGACAAACCCCAGGCCAUUGAACUGAAUACUCUUCUGGCCUCAUUUGACUUGGAAAGACUACACACCACAGCAACUCACAGACCAGCACGGACUACACCACCCAGCCCCUGGCUGUCUGACAUCCUUCGUGAACAUCGGACUGUUCUCAGGGCAGCUGAGAGGAGAUGGCGGAAAUCUAAAGAUCCAGCUGAUCUAGGUAAAUAUCAGCUUCUGCUCGCAACUUUUUCAAAUAACGUUAAAACUGCAAAAACUUCAUAUUACCAGACCAAAAUCAACAGCACCACAGACACUCGUAGCUUGUUUAGAACAUUUAACACACUUCUCUGCC